CGUUUAAUGUAGCCAUCGAAAGAUGAGAGUCACAAGCCUCUAUAAAUACAGAGUGAACG
rnacentral:ribozyme from 2 species